GCCCGUCGCGAGGCGGACGGAGGGAUGGAUGAGGUUACCUGGAAAAAAAUCGGGGCGAUCUAGGCGGGCGAACCUCGCCAACGAACGAUCGGACAUGGGGAUAACGGAAGAGGGCGUCGGCUCGACUUCGUCGGUUCCUCGGGCCGAGGCACGUACGGUGAAUAGGGACGGUCGGGGCCGCCCGUACCGGGUCGUGAGAGGUGAAAUUCUAGGAUCGACCCCGAGACGAACCGCCGCGAAAGCAUUCGGCAAGGACGCUUUCAUUAAUCAAGAACGAAAGUCGGGGGAUCGAAGACGAUCAGAUACCGUCGUAGUCCCGACCGUAAACGAUGCCGACCGAGGGCCCGGAGGAGUUACGUACGACCCUCCGGGCCCUCCCCGCGAGAAAUCAGGAGUAUUCGGGUUCCGGGGGGAGUAUGGUCGCAAGGCGAACUUAAAGGAAUUGACGGAAGGGC
rnacentral:rRNA from 1 species